AUUGAACGCUGGCGGCAGGCCUAACACAUGCAAGUCGAGCGGAUGAAGGGAGCUUGCUCCUGGAUUCAGCGGCGGACGGGCGAGUAAUGCCUAGGAAUCUGCCUGGUAGUGGGGGAUAACGUCCGGAAACGGGCGCUAAUACCGCAUACGUCCUGAGGGAGAAAGUGGGGGAUCUUCGGACCUCACGCUAUCAGAUGAGCCUAGGUCGGAUUAGCUAGUUGGUGGGGUAAAGGCCUACCAAGGCGACGAUCCGUAACUGGUCUGAGAGGAUGAUCAGUCACACUGGAACUGAGACACGGUCCAGACUCCUACGGGAGGCAGCAGUGGGGAAUAUUGGACCAUGGGCGAAAGCCUGAUCCAGCCAUGCCGCGUGGUUGAAGAAGGUCUUCGGAUUUUAAAGCACUUUAAGUUGGGAGGAAGGGCAGUAAGUUAAUACCUUGCUGUUUUGACGUUACCAACAGAAUAAGCACCGGCUAACUUCGUG
rnacentral:rRNA from 1 species